rnacentral:rRNA from 1 species
CCCUUAGAUGUUCUGGGCCGCACGCGCGCUACACUGAUGCAUUCAACAAGCCUAGCCUUGACCGAGAGGUCCGGGUAAUCUUUGAAACUGCAUCGUGAUGGGGCUAGAUUAUUGCAAUUAUUAAUCUUCAACGAGGAAUGCCUAGUAAGCGUGAUUCAUCAAAUCGCGUUGAUUACGUCCCUGCCCUUUGUACACACCGCCCGUAGCUCCUACCGAUUGAAUGUGUUGGUGAGGAGCUCGGAUUGGCAGCAGUUGGUGGUUCGCCACCGGCUAUUGCUGAGAAGUCCUCCAAACCGCCCCAUUUAGAGGAAGGAGAAGUCGUAACA